GAGAGAGGGAGGGAAAGAGUGAGAAAGAGAGGGAGGGUGGGAAUAGUAGGAGGGAGAAGUGGACGUAGAAAUAGAGAAAGAAAGGACAUUCGCUGCCACAGCUUGCCAUCCCUUUCUAACUUACGAUAGUCACACAGUCUCUCUUUCGAUCUAUCGAGAGACAGACUUUUAUGUCGAUUUUACAACUCCCCUUGGCACGUUUUAACUUUCGAAAAAUGUACAAGGAUAGGACUGACAUUGAAUAAGAACACCGUCCACGAAUAAGAAUGAUUCACGAAUAGAGUCCGAUUGAACGGGGGGAAAGUCUUCUGAAAUAUGAAAAGACUUGAGAUAGAUUGAUACUUCGUUUCUCGUUUUCUUUCCAUCUCUUUCUAUUUCCUUCAAACAUCAAGCAAAAAAGAAUUUGUUGCAUACGUCACAUAAGAUCGAAUUGUUCGAUUAACGUAGUAGCCAUUCGAUAUCCUAGGAAUGUUUUUAAGAUAUCGAAAGAACAGUCGCUUUAACCUUAAUUUUGUUCUACGAGGAAUAAUCACUUCUUUUUCAACGGAGCUCGUGCGUCGACAAUUAUCGCGUCUUCCCACAUAACGCUCGCCGAUUCUCGAUUAGUCGCCUUCCCGAAAUUUGGUCGAACGCGCAACUCGAGCGCGCAGGAACGGACAUUACACGCUAUGACUACUAGAGGGACCUCGAGCGAAGUGAGGAACGAAGGGAGGGGAAGGAAUUGUCAGAGCGCAUGUCGAGGAGACGCGGAUUUACUCUUUAUAAAUACGUAAAACGCGUCUUUUUUAGUAUUGGUCAGUAUCGACGCGCCCUUCGUUUUAUUAUUGAUGUUUGCCCACGUAACGACGAUCUUACUUAAUACAUCAUACUCAACUUCGUACAUUUUUUUUGAAUAUGUCAAUUUCAUAACAUUAUACGUAUUUCAGUUACGCGUUGAUUUUUAUAUUUACCGCUUUGCCCCAAAAAUUGUUUUAGUUACUUGCGUUUACAGUUCUACCAAUCACGCCAAACAAAUAUCCCUGUAAAACCGAUCGAAGAUCAUAUUUCUUGCAUGUAAAAGAAAAUUUGUUUGAAUCGAUUCAUGUGUUAUAAUAAAUUUGAAAAAAUCGUUUAA